GAACCGACUGGCAAUCGUAGCUCUCAAAAGCUUCUGUCGAACUCUAACCCUGUAGAUGAACUCUAACCUUUGUCAAUGACUUGUCCAUUAGAUAAGGGAUCAUAUAUUCCUCCAUUCUAGAUAUCAUAUGGACUGAGACAUGGAUUAUAAUCAUUCUCUCUGUCCAUUUGUUGUUUCUUGGUUUCCGAUUUAUGAUGACUGACUAAUUGAACUAAUCAAAUCAGUCCUGGCCCGACCGAGCACUUCCAUUUGUCAUCAUCAAAUCAUCGAGGGGCCCACAGAUAUCGCUUUUAUCCCGAAGGUAAAAGGAAUGGAUAAACUUCGACUCAUAUGGCUUGUUCUACUACUUGUUGAAUCAUACACAAAGGCACGUUUUAUAGCACCGAGUUACCAAAUGCGUUUUCGUGCAAUCAAUGUACUAUCAACUCAUAGUAACAACUCAUAUCUCUAGGUUUGAAGAAUAUAAGAUAUUAUCGUCUCAUGAUCACUCGUGAUAAAAUCCAUGAAGUGAUUCCAAUGAGCGCGGGUUGAAUCCAAUACUCAGAACUUAUGAGCACUCAUGAGUGUUGUAGCCCUUUGUCCAACACCUUAGACCUCUACAAGCCAACCCAUGACAGUCUUAAUUCAUAUCUACUUCCAACAUAUGACCGACUGUGGAUGGUUUGAAUAACUUAGUCAUUCCGGAAGAAUAACCCAGUUUAUUCAGGAAGUCAAAACAUGCAAAGUGAAACACAAUAAUAAUUGAAUCCAAUAUGGUAUCAAAACCUAUGAACAUAAAUAAAACACCUUUUAUUUAUCACCAUAUGAUUACACAUUAUUCAUUGUAUAUUGUGUCAGCUAUCAACUUUAUUCUUGAAUUUAAAACAAUAGUUGUCCCAUGCUCCAAGCACGUACACUAUGUUUUCUAAACACUAGUCAUGCCAUCCACCAAGUAUGCAUACUAUGUUUUUCUAUGAUAUUUACUUUUUAAAAUAGAUCAAUUGAACAUAACUCCAAUAAUCCUCUCUUCACAUUUCCAAAACCUUACUGCAAAUGCAAGAAUUCCAAAUUCAUGCCAUUUACUGAAAUCUGUUAGAUUCUAAACUUAUAUGCAUUGAUCCUCUUGUAAUGAUUAUGCACAAAGUCACAAAGACUUGACAACAACCAUUACAGAGCAUUCCGAAAGAGAUCAGCUCCUUGGAAACAUCCUUCUUGCAUUAAGUUUCCAAAUAUUACAUAGAUUGAAUAAUUUCUAACUUUGAAACAUUUCCAGAUUCCAUUUUGACUAUCACUUCUGAACAAGAGUUGCCUCCUUAUAGAUGAUGUCAAUAUGGUCCUUCUAGAAUUAUCACUAUACUUCCAACUGUCCUUGAGCAACAAAUCUUUGGUAAACCUUAGAUUGUCCUCGACAAUUGUUUAAUCCUUUUAGUCAUAUCAAAUUCGAGACCUUUUCCCUUCUUAAUGCCCCAAGGAUUUGGAAAAUUUUAGAAAGGAUGAAUAUAGCACAUGUAAUCGAUCCUAUAUCUGAAGCAUAUGGGACACGAUUCAUGAUGUCUCAGAUAAAGCCUAAACUAGUCUUUUGCUAUAAUAUUUCCAUUUCAAUUUGCCAAGUUCUCAUAAUUCAGAUUAGAAAAAGGGAUGUCGUAAUCAUAAUUGAAUUUUAAAAACGCAAAUAAUGGAUCCAUAUAUAGAAUUUUUCUUAUGUUGAGCCAUUCCAACAUGAAAUUCCUAUAUAUGUCCUUGACUAAAUAUGAUUAAAACCUCAACCUAAGCUUUUAGAUUUCAAAUGAAGUAUAAUUUCCUCUCCCUUAGUUAUAGGAAAACAACUUUUUCCCAAUUGAAACUUUUGUUUUCUAUAAUUAACAUUGCUAACUUGCAAUACUUAUCAUAAUUAUCAUGCUCCCACUAACAUGAUGAUUAUUAGCAUAACACUUAUGCUCCCACUAGCUUUGACAUGUACUCAGAAAUCAGCUGGACUUCUAGGAAUCAAUACUUUAUUGACUUUCUUACCAAAGUUCAGAUUUCUGAUACUAGAUUGCUUUGAUAAAAUUUUAUCGUUAUAAAGUUCCCUAGGAACUAGGCUGGACAUGAGUAUAGCCUACCAUCCACAUACCGACGAGCAAAGUGAGAGAAUUAUCCAAACCUUGGAAGAUAUGUUGCGAGCAUGUGUGGUCAACUUUGGGAAAGCAUGGGAUACUCAUUUACCCCUUGUCGAAUUUUCCUACAACAACAAUUAUCACAUGAGCAUAAAGGCUGCUCCAUUCGAGGCCCUCUAUGGUCGAAAGUGCAGAUCCCUUCUAUGUUGGGCUGAGGUGGGUGAUACCCAGAGUUAGCUAAAGGAUGAGUUCCUAACAGCACUCUCACAGGUCCGGAGAUCAUAUGGGAAACGACGGAGAAAGUCGUUCAGAUGCGUGAGCGAUUGAAACCCUCUAGAGACCGACAUAAAAGCUACACUGAUAAACGUACGAAACCGUUGCAAUUCUAGGUGGUGACCGUCUUCUAUUGAAGGUCUCACCCUGGAAGGUCUGUCCGACGAGACUCUUGUAAUCCCCCUCGACGAGAUCGAGAUCAACGAGAGCCUCAACUUCGUGUAAGAACCAGUGGAGAUCAUGGACCAGGUUCCCUAGAAAGCAAACGAAACAAAGCCGUAUCCCGAUAGUGAAGGUUUGCUGGAACGCCAAGCGAGGACCUGAAUUCACUUGGGAGUGUGAGAAUCAGAUGAAACUGAAAUAUACUCGUCUUUUUACUUAGUUAUUUGUAACUACUUAUUUGCUUAAACUCUAAUUUCGGGACGAAAUUCCUUCUAAGGAGGGGAUGAUGUGACAACCUGAAAUUUCUAUUCUUUACGACAUUUCCAUUCAAUAGAAGUCAGAACAGUACUAUUAAUUUUCAGACUUUUUAGAAGAAGUUUGAGUAUUUUAGGAUUAACAAUUUACGAGAGAUCAGGAGAGAGGAUGCCCUAGACUUUAUUGUGCAACAAUAAAGUCCCGACACAUCAAAAUAUAGGAGUUUACGGCCUAAACAAUGGUGUUUACGGCCGUAAACUCCAAGGAAUGGGGUAUAUAAGUGACACUUAGUCAUUUAUAUCAUUUUCCACCUUUUCAAGAACAAACCUCAAACUCUCUCAAGUAUCAUCAAAGUUUUCNAUCAAAGUUUCUUCAAGAUCUUCAAUCUAGUAAGUGUUUCUAGCCCUUUCUAGUUAGUAUAUCACCUAAUCUAGUGUUUUAACACACGUCCAUCCGUGAAAAUGUUCCAAAAGGUUGUUCUUCAAGUUUCACCAAGAACACACACUAGUGUUCUUGGACUUUUGGCUCAUUUCAAGCUUCUAUAUUGUAAGUACUUCUGUCCUAGAGUAUCAUAGAGCUUAUUAUACUUCCAUAUAUCAAGAAAACACAAAGAAACACUAAGAUCAAAGUUGUUUACGGUCCAUGAACUCCGUGAACCGUAAACCCUUCUUAAGGGGAAAAAGUGACCCUAGUCCCUUCCUUCCCUUGGGAAACUAGUCUAGACACAUUCCUUAAUGUGUAUAGGACUUGAAAACAUCAAAAUACCAUGAUCCAUGAGGGUUUACGACCGUAAACCCUAAGGAAAAUGGUCUUAGGGUCGUAAACUCCUCAAAGGAGGGAAAUGGUGCCCUAACUUCUUCCUUAGGCUUAUACAUCAAGUAGAAAUGCUUCUAGGCAAUUAUAAACCUUCAAAUCAAGAAAUGGACAAAGGAGUAUGAGCUUACGAACGUAAACUCAUGGGUUUACGACCGUAAACUCAAUGAGUUGAGGUCACAAUACCGUAAACACAAGAAAGGGGUUCUUUUGAACCCUAAACCCAAUAGCUUUGUCCUACAACACUUAGAUGCAAUCCUGGGACUUAUAACACUUAUAUAAAGUGUUUAACUUGUCUUAGGAUGUUAUAACUUUGUAAAUUAGUUGUUUAAAGACUAAUUGGAUACAUAUAUGUGCGUUUAUAUGUUAACUAGGAUCAUUGUGUGUGUAUAAGUCUUCACUUGACACCUAACAAUCCUAUAUCUUCAGUUCAUCCAAAUCGCUCACUACAGGUGAGUUCAUACCCCUUAAAUUGACCUUUUAAUGUUUUUAAAUUCUUUUAUGGGGGGAUACAAGUUGAAUACUUAUAGUUAUUAUAUCAAUCACAUGUGAUUAAUAGCUACCAAACAAGUGGUUUUCUUACUUUUCAAACUGUGUUAUCAAACUGUUUUGCUUCAAACUAUUUUACAAACUCCUCUGUUGUCAAAUAAUUUAACUUCAACUCUUUUCAUACUUUUAUAUUUUCAAACACAUGCCUUUGUAUGUAUAGUUAUAUAAGUAAUUUUUAAAGGAUUUAGGAUGGCUAGCUCGCAUUAUCUCCUUUUCCUUGUUAAGAUGUGGCGUUAGGGCAUCGGGUAUCCGUCCGAAGGUCGUCUAAAUAUUAGUUAUAUAUUAUGUAUACAUAUAUAGACAUAAAAGUUCCACCAUCCAAUUCAAUACUCUUGAGUAGCAAGGGUAUACAUUGAUGAUCAUUAUGUACAAGUCAUAUUACUAGUAAACUACGAUAGGCAUAGUUUAGGAAGAUACUAAUGCUAUUACAAGAACGAAGAAUCAUACAAUUAGUCGGUUCAUUCAUGAGUUAAUACUUGCUAGAUAGAGAGAGAGCACAAUACAGCUAGUACACACAGUAAAUUACUAUACAUGCUAGAUAGAGAAAUAACACACAUUACAGCUAGUACACGCAGAACUUGACAAUACAUACAGGCUAGACAGAGAAAGAACACACAAUACAGCUAGGACAUACAUUACAUAUACAUUCAUGCAGUUAUUGUUGGUUUUUGAGCACUCUAACACUCCUAAGUGUACAUGCAACCCUAAAUACCUUGGAUCUAUGUUUUCUCUAUUAUACAUGCAAAUAUGAACUUUCGAAGGUAUUCAUCCUAACUAGCAUAAUAAUAUGAUUCAUAUGAAUAUAUAUCAAUUUACAAUUACAUACCUCUUUAAUGUAGAAAGUAUUCAUGAAGCUUGACUUCCUAGUACCCCAAGUGUGACACCUCAAAUGGUUCACACAACACCAGAUACACUUGGAAUAACUUGAGAGAAACUUGUACACUCCUUGAAAUCGUCUAGCCCUCACACUCACACAUAGUGCACGAGUUAUUGAACCAUGGUAUUCUUUUAUAUGGUGGUUGUUAGGGUUACACCAUGUAACUCAUGACUUUACCUAUUCCUUAUGCUCCAUGGAUUUUAACCUCCAUGGAGUAUCCAUGGGUCACCCCAUGCACUUAGUCCAACACAAGGAAUCUUGGAUCACAAGCCCACAUAUAUAAUAAUGAAUGAUUUACACAAUCAACCCAUAUAUUUAAUUACUCUCCUUUUGAUCACUUAAUUAAUUCCAAAUUAAUUCUUGAUCAAUACCAAUUAAAUAACCUUAUUAAUAUAUUAGAACUUAUAAUAUAUUAACAAACCUUAAGUGUUAUUUCUCUCAUUUUAGUCUAUCCAAAUGCAUGAUGCCAUGCAACCCAAAUGGACCAUGUCGGGUCGGGUCAAGUCUUACCAAUUAUAGUUAUGGACAUAGACAUUAAUCCAACAGUCUCCCACUUGGAUAAGUCUAAAACUAUUACUGCGUAUGACUUCAAGAACCGACUGGCAAUCGUAGCUCUCAAAAGCUUCUGUCGAACUCUGACCUUGUAGAUGAACUCUGACCUUUGUCAAUGACUUGUCCAUUAGAUAAGGGAUCAUAUAUUCCUCCAUUCUAGAUAUCAUAUGGACUGAGACAUGGAUUAUAAUCAUUCUCUCUGUCCAUUUGUUGUUUCCCGAUUUCCGAUUUAUGACGACUGACUAAUUGAACAAAUCAAAUCAGUCCUGGCCCGGCCGAGCACUUCCAUUUGUCAUCAUCAAAUCAUCGAGGGGCCCACAGAUAUCGCUUUUAUCCCGAAGGUAAAAGGAACGGAUAAACUUCGACUCAUAUGGCUUGUUCUACUACUUGUUGAAUCAUACACAAAGGCACGUUUUAUAGCACCGAGUUACCAAAUGCGUUUUCGUGCAAUCAAUGUACAACCAACUCAUAGUAACAACUCAUAUCUCUAGGUUUGAAGAAUAUAAGAUAUUAUCGUCUCAUGAUCACUCGUGAUAAAAUCCAUGAAGUGAUUCCAAUGAGCGCGGGUUGAAUCCAAUACUCAGAACUUAUGAGCACUCAUGAGUGUUGUAGCCCUUUGUCCAACACCUUAGACCUCUACAAGCCAACCCAUGACAGUCUUAAUUCAUAUCUACUUCCAACAUAUGACCGACUGUGGAUGGUUUGAAUAACUUAGUCAUCCAGAACAAUGACCUAGUUAUGAAGGAAGUCAAAACACGCAAAGUGACACAAAAUAAUAAUUGAAUCCAAUAAGGUAUCAAAACCUAUGAACAUAAAUAAAACACCUUUUAUUUAUCACCAUAUGAUUACACAUUAUUCAUUGUAUAUUGUUUCAGCUAUCAACUUUAUUCUUGAAUUUAAAACAAUAGUUGUCCCAUGCUCCAAGCAUGUACACUAUGUUUUCUUAACACUAGUCAUGCCAUACACCAAGUAUGCAUACUAUGUUUGUCUAUGAUCUUUACUUUGUGAACUAGAUCAAUUGAACAUAACUUCAAUGAUUCUCUUUUCACACUCCCAAAUCCUUACUGCAAAUGCAAG
rnacentral:lncRNA from 1 species